rnacentral:lncRNA from 1 species
GACAAACCAACUAAAAAAAUGCUCUCAAACACUAAACAAUGGCACAUCCAAGAAGGAGAUGAUGGCAGCUCAGGAUGCACCUCACCUAGCUCAGGAUGCACCUCACCUACGUAGUAAUGCAAUCACCUAUGUAGUAAUGCAGUCUUGAGUUCAACAUUACAGUGAGGAGAAAUCUCCCUAAAAUUGAAGAGCAGAGCAAUCCAAAAAGGCAAAUCUAAAAGAGUCCCUCCCAUAUAUACUCAAGACCUGCAGAAUAAGAAAAAACAAAAGAAAACCACCAACAAGGGAGAACCAAGCGGGCAGACGGCGUCAAGCAGAGACAAAAAUCGACGGUUCCACUAUCCCGAAGCGCAAAGACCUCAACCAAAGCCAAGAGCCACCAAUAGUAACCUUUCCUCAAAAGCAGAUGAUACUUUGCAACUUCUAAAGGAGAACGCACAUCUUGUACAUUGAUCUACUGUGAACUCACCUCUCUCUUUCCUUCACCCUUUCUUUUGCCCUUUCUUUUUCUCUCUCUCAUCUCUCACCAGUGCAGUAUUUGACAUUUGAAAACAUUAUAUAUUGUAAAAAAUAUCAUUCUUU